UACGGAGGGUGCAAGCGUUAUCCGGAUUCACUGGUUAAAGGGUGCGUAGGUGGUUUGUAAGUCAGUGGUGAAAGCCCGGAGCUUAACUCCGGAACUGCCAUUGAUACUGCUUAACUUGAAUCAACUUGAGGUGGAUGGAAUAUUACAUGUAGCGGUGAAAUGCUUAGAUAUGUAAUAGAACACCGAUUGCGAAGGCAGUUCACUAAGGUUGUAUUGACACUGAGGCACGAAAGCGUGGGGAUCAAACAGG
rnacentral:rRNA from 1 species